CCUACGGGUGGCAGCAGUAGGGAAUAUUCGGCAAUGGGGGGAACCCUGAACGAGCCAAGCCGCGUGAACGAAGAAGGUAUUCGGAAUGUAAAGUUCUUUUAACAGGGAAGAAAGAGAAAUUUGACGGUCCCUGAAGAGUAAGCUCCGGCAAACUACGUGCCAGCAGCCGCGGUAAUACGUAGGGGGCGAGCGUUAUCCGGAAUUAUUGGUCGUAAAGGGUGCGUUGAUGGCAUAGUAAGUCGUUUGUAAAAAUGCGGGGCUCAACCCAGUAGGGCAAAAGAUACUGCAAAGCUAGAGUAUGAGAGAGGCAAGUGGAAGUAGAGGUGUAGCGGUAAAAUGCGUAGAUAU
rnacentral:rRNA from 1 species